GUUUGCACACUCUUCACCCUGCUACUGCCCACUCUGCUGGUCACCUGCCCCCUGAUAACCCCAUCACUCCUGAAAGAUCCUGAGUGCCUGGAUUUUGUCAUCCAGGCCUGCAGGAUGCUGCCAUUUGUCCUGAGGAAGACUGUCCCAGACAGAGAGGAGGAGAUGGAGGUGGAUAUUGAGAUUGAUAGAGAGGAGGAGAUGGAGACGGAGGGAGCAGACACUGGAGAGGAGGAGAUGGAGGUGGAUGUGGAGGUGGAGGAAGAGAUGGACGUUGAUAUGGACGAGUCCAUUGAGGACAUGGACAUUGAUUAAAAAGGUGCGAUGGACAUCACAGAGACACCACCCUUUUGUAUAUAUGUUCUUCAGUUUGUUGUUUUUCUUUAGAAUAUAGAUUGUAGGGCUAUUUUUGACUUGUGUAAAUACGUUUCCCAUAGAUUUGUUAGGUAGGUUUUUCUGUAUAUAUGUUCUAUCGAUUGUUGCUGUUACAAAUAUUCUUACAAUGUAAACAUGUUCUGUAUU